UACGAAGGGGGCGAGCGUUGUUCGGAAUUACUGGGCGUAAAGGGCGCGUAGGCGGCGAUCCGAGUCAGAUGUGAAAGUCCUGGGCUUAACCUGGGGACUGCAUUUGAUACUGGAUUGCUUGAAUGCAGGAGAGGAUAGCGGAAUUCCCAGUGUAGAGGUGAAAUUCGUAGAUAUUGGGAAGAACACCGGUGGCGAAGGCGGCUAUCUGGACUGUGAUUGACGCUGAGGCGCGAAAGCUAGGGGAGCAAACGGG
rnacentral:rRNA from 1 species